UUAAGUUUUCAAUUUGUUCUAAUAUUGUAGCUUUGUAUUUGACUCUGGCAUUCUAUUUAAUUAUCACAAAAUCGCAAACAAUCAAGUUGUCUUGAGCAGCCUUCUAAUAGAUAUACUUUCAUUAUCCAAGAUAGUUGUAUGUGGCAGCCUCUAUCUCUCAUCUGCUUAAAUUUUUGGCUAAAAGAAGAAAACUACAAAAUAUUUUCUUAAGAAAGCAAGGGGCCUUGAAGAUUUGCAGUUUGAUAUACAGCAGCGAGCACUUAAGCUCACUGCAAACAGGU